rnacentral:lncRNA from 1 species
AUGAGUUGGAGGAAAUGUUUGAUAAAAUUUUCCUGUAUUCUCAGUGGGUUCUCACUGACAGGCUGUUCAAGGAAAAUUCAACAAAAAUGCCUGCCAUACCACGAAGAGGCAAACAGCCAGAGGAACUUUCCUCAGAAGCGUUUCAGAUUACUUUAAAUUACUUAUCAGACCAUGCAAACUGGGUAGAACUGUCUUUCUUAAGAGCCAUUCACGUUUAAAAUGUGGACAUGGAGCUCCAACCCCAUGCCAACUGGGUGUUUUAAUAGCAGUUUUCUGGUAUUUUUCUAGUACUUUAUAAGUGAAAGGGGAUUCUUGUGUUUAUUUUGUGAUUAUUAUUAGCCCAAAUAAAAUUUGCCUCUUGCAAAGCACCAGUAGAGAAAAUAAAUCAUUGAACAUUGAUUGCAGGUCAUGAACUGCAGAGCCUAUUGGGCAAAAUAUAGGGGAUCAAAAGAAUGUGAGCCUGGUCUUGCUUGGUAAAAAAGGCAUUUACCUUCUAGUCAUGAAGGCAGGAUUGGAGCUGAGGCCCAUCUCCUUCAGCCACACAUUCUUCUUUCAGACAUCUCAGCACUCUUGAUAAUAUUCAGCCUUUGUUUAUACUCGGUAGAGCCUAGAUUUGAUUUCCAGGGUUUGUCUUCCUUCCCUGACCUGAGAGAAAAUCACUCCCAAGGCUGCCAGUUGUGG